GCCUUAAAUUGGACUUACUUGCAUUCUAAUUUGAAUAAUCUACUUAUUUAUUUACUAGGCAUCAGCACAGGAAGCCCUACCUGUUCUUGUCGUGAGAUUUAACAGAAAGAAUCAGGUUUUGUGCUACAUUGUCACAGCAUUUAAAAGCAUAAAAUUUAUUCAUUUCUCAGAGGUUUGAAUGAAGCAUUCAAUAAUGGAAAAAAAAUGGCAGUAACAAGAAAGACCUAUUUAAAAACUCAAAGAGAAUGUAUCUGGUUAUAGAUAUAACUAGAUAAAAAAUAAUGAGAGCACAAUGAGUAAUGCUAAUCGUGAGAGCUGAAGAUGAUGCAGUGGCCAUGCCCUCUUCGUAUAAAAAGAGUCACACAACAUCUUCAACUCCAUUAAAUAUCUUUCCUCAUACAAAAUCGCCGAUCAUUUCAUUACAGGUAUGGAGGCCAAACUGAUUGUAGUGGUUAUGUUUGUCUGUGCUGUUUGUCACGGCAUCAAAGCCAAUCUGCAGACACCAAUGAUUGUUAACACUAGCAUCACUAACACUGGCUGUGGAAGCACUAAACUAUGUGUGUCAAGUGCACCUAAUUGUGAUCCUUCAGGAAACUCCAGCUGCUUUUUCAGUUCCAUUCAAGUGAACAACCAAACUGCGUCCAUUGAACUCAGUGGUACAACAUCUGGAUAUGUCGCACUGGGACUUACUGCCAGUAACCAAUCAGAGGGAGGUGCUGUUGUGUUCAUCUGCGGCAACAGCAACACCGUAAACAGCACUUUCUUUUUUAACACUGCUACUCUAAAUGGCACGAUGCUGACGUCUGCUAAUGUGUCCACUGUAAACAGUGUUCAGGGUGCUUUAAGACAAAACCAGAGCCUCGUUCAGUGCACCUUCAACACCACCACCAAUCUGACCAUCAACAACAGCAGCAACUUGAUAAUCAGUAACACCAGCACCUUUUACAUCACCAUCAUGAACGGAAGCUCAAACGGAACAACGCUGAACAAUGCAGCUGUGGUGUUUAAUUACAGCGCACCAUUAGUCCUGACUAACAGCACAGUGAACGUUGUUAGCAGCACCUACACCGUUCAAUCACCGCUCAACAUCAGUCGUAAUGGUUGUGGCAGCUUGAAAAUGUGUUUGUCGACGCCGUCUGCUUGCGAACCUGCAGGAUCCGGCUGCACUUUCAUGUCUUCUAAAGUGAACAACCAAACCAUUUUCUUUGAGCUCAGCGGCAGAACGUCUGGAUAUGUCGCACUGGGACUCACGAAACAGAAUUCCACUUAUGUGUUUGUCUGUGGCAACAACUACAACAGCAGCAGCAACAGCAGCAGUUUUUUCUUUCAAACAGCCACUCAAAACGGCACAGUGUUGACUCCUGCUAGCGUGUCUAAUGUAUACUAUUAUCAGGGUGAAGUAACACAAACCAAGAGUUUUAUUCAGUGCAUCUUCAACAUCACCACCAAUGCCAGUGACAACGUGUACAACAUCACCAUCUUCAGUGGAACCACUAACGGAACACAAAUGGGAACUGCAACAACACUGCUUGCCACCAGAGUAGGUUUAGACCUGUCUAAUUCCAGUGCACCACUCAUCCUGAUCACCCAGAGUCCCCAGACUAAUCCUGCAAAUGGCUGUAACUCAGUAGUCAGCCUCUGGACUCAUGUGUUGGCUGUGCUUCUCAGCGCAAUGAGUCUCCACUUCGUCACUUCACACAGUAUAAAUUAAGUAUAAAUGUGUGUUGAAAGUCACAAGUGUGUGUGUGUGUAUGUGUGUGUGUGGGUAAAAUAUGAAACCAUCCUUAAUUGGCUGAACAUGAAGUCAAGCCUGUAACCUAAAUUAUAUAUUGGCACUCUGUUUUGUAAAUAGAUUUCUGAACUGUGGCUAAAAUGUAAAAAGAAAACCUUUUUGGAAUAUAUAAAUGACAUUAAUUUACACCAAAUCAGAUUCUUUUUUUUCUUUAUAACUGUGAAUUAGAAUGCAAAUGUACUGAAUUAUUAAAGUAUGUUUCUUACGACUUUCAGCUGUUUGUUAAUUAUUCAGAUUUAAUGCCCACAAUAACUAGAGUAAGUAACUGUUAUACUAGCGGCUGUGGUACUAAAUUUGCACAUAAAACAUUUGCAGUCAAGUCUCAAUUGCCAUAAUUAUUAUUUCCAUGGUGCAUUCAGUUAUUUCCAGUGUUCCCAGGACAGAUCCGCUGUGACCCUGACCACGAUGAAGGACUUUCUGAAAAUGAAUGAAUAAAUGGAUGAGUACACUAAACUGAUUCAUCAUAUUAGUUAGAAAAUAUAUCGCAGCCUACUGUACAUGCCUAAGCAAGGAUAGAGAGAUUCCCCCUUUAUAAUAUAGCUACAAGUAUAUGGCUAGCAAUAGCUAAUAUUAAUAGUGUUGAAUGCAAGAGCAGGUAGGUAUGCUCUGCUUGUUUUCCAGGUGUGUGCAGGUCAAUGAAUGCCUGAUAUGAUGUGUGCCUGUACGCUGCUUCUCAUCACACUGCCAAUCAUCACACUGUGGAAAGUUUGGCUGGAGGCACUUUGGUGGGAGAGUUUGGUUGUUUGGUUGACAUUUUCGAGCACCACUUACGGCAUUUGCCAGAUGCCCUUAUCCAGAGCGGCUUACAUUCAUCUCACUUAUACAUUUGAGCAGUUGAGGGUUAAGGGCCUUGCUCAGGGGCCCAGCAGUGGCCCUUGAGCCACUGACCUUCUGGUGAAAAGACCAACGUGCUUAACCACUGAGCUACCACUGCCCCUAGGGUUAGGGUUAGGGGUUAGAGUUAGAUAUAUAAUGCUUAACUUUAGGGAAGCUUGUUUUUGGUUUUGCUUUGUUCUUUCCUUUGUCAAUAACCACAAUCUAGCCUCUGUUUGUUUUUGUUCAGGACUGUUUACUGUUCUAUGUACUGUGUCAUGUGCUUUCUUUUCUGUUGCCUGACCAUGUGGCGUUAAAAAAAAACAGCUCAUUGUGCACAUUAAAUACUUUGAGAUGCAUUCUUCUGUUGUGUUUGUGUGUGUUUAACCCUUUUGGUUGCUGGUUGCCUACACUCAUCAACUGUUGGACAGUACUGUUACAAGCCCCAUUUAUCCCUAGAACUACUCAGUGUACUUGAGGUUGCUGAAAUUAAAAUGUAAGCUUUCGCCAGAGAGGAGAGCAGCGAGUACAAUUGAGUAUUUUAGCAAGAGAACAGAUAGUCACUAGAAUAGAAUAGAAAUUUAUUUUCUGUAUGUGUCCAUUUCAGCUUCCAUCAGACUGUUGGACUGUCCUUAUUGACUCAAAAAGAACCCCACCUCUACUUUCUUGAGACGAGGUUGUUCCUUCUCAGGGUUUACCAAAAGGUGGAGGUGUAUUUACUAAAAGAAGACUUACUACUUAUAAACCACAGUUCAGGCAGCCAUUUUGAAAAUGAACUUGACUUCUUUUCCCGUGCAAAUUAGCCAACCCCAAGCUCCGCCCCCUUUACCUACAAUUUCUGCCCAGCAACAAGUGAUUAGGAAUUUCGACUCUUUUCAUUGAGUCGGAUCAAGAAGAGUCGACUCUUUCGGCUCGAAAACGGCUCACUGCCUUUUUAUUUCUCUAAACGGAUGAAGCCGUGAUUGUUGUUCUUUGCAUAACUGUGGCUGAAACUUGUUUUAUUAAAUCUCACUCUACUUUAUAAUUGACAAAAUAACCUUGUAUUUGAUUUUAUAAAAUCUAUUAAAAGUAGUUACAUCAGCAAUGAACUGCAUACUGAGAAAAAAAAUCUCUGCAUUUACGUUAUGUAUGGUAUUUUUGUAAAUGGUGUGUCUGUGCUUCAACAUUUAUUUCCACAAAUAAUGUCUUGGGACAUUAAUCAUUGUAUUGUUAAUUAUAUUGUGAUUGUAUGGUGAGGCCAAAGACCAAUUUUCAGCCAAGGCUGAACAAUAAAGUAC
ensembl:lncRNA